rnacentral:tmRNA from 1 species
GGGGAUGCACUGGUUUCGACGAGGUUGUUGAAAUUAGGAUAGCGAGUAGAGGGUUCCGUUGGCCUCUUUAAAAAGCGGAAAAAAUUUUUAAAUGCCGAAGAAAAUACGGUAUUAGCAGCUGCUUAGUUCAGCUGUUCCUGACACCGACUGAUCUGCAGGUUGAUCUGUCAGGCUAGAUUAGCAGACCUUGCCUAAGGGAGGUUAAGUAGGCAAACCUUUGAGCCUAAGCUUUGCAGCUCAAUUGCAUUUAUGAAGCUACUUUGUUCCAUACUUUGUUAUUAGAGGAUGGGCAGGGGAAUGAAAAAAUAAUAACUGCACUCGGAGAAAUCCUUUUUGGCGCAGUUUCGGACACGGGUUCAAUUCCCGUCAUCUCCACCA